UAAUUGUAUCUUGGUUGACAAACUAAAAUAGGCUUUCUACAUUUAAUUAAGUGAAAGAAAGCUCUAGAAAUCUGGUAUAUGCAGAUUUUUUUUUUGUAAUGUAAUACUUUAUUGCGACCCUAGAUUUCUGUCCUUAACUUGGUCAUCGGGAAGAAGGAUGAAAGUGAUCUUCCCCUGUCUUGCUGACAAUAAGAAACCAAGGACGAGAGGUCUCAAGAGAGUAUCACAUAUCCACAUGCAAGUUGUUUAACCUUGGAAAGGAGGAGGAUAUGAUGUAACGAAGCAUGUCAACACUUGCCAACGCACUUUCACAAACUCUGACGCAGCUAAUUAUCAAAAGCUUCUUGCCUCCAAGAGUUUAGCCAAGAGCCUAGACCUCUCUUCUGCUGCUAAGCCAUUCAUUGCUCCCAAGACUCAGAGCUGAUUCUUUGCUCUCUCGUUUGUUGCUCUGGUCAUGUUCAAAGUUCUACGAAGACAUGCAAACGCUAUCAUGGUCAUGUUCGCUUUGUUUUUAUUUUAUUCUCAAAUUCAUGUCAUCAUUUUUUUUCUCCACAUUUUUCUGCUUUAAGCUCUCUCUUUUAUUCCAAACUUCUACUUCAAUUUUCUUACAGCUAAUAUGCCACAAAACUUAGUUGAUAGAUAAAAGAACAGACUUCGCAAAAGAGAACUAUAGUGUCCAAAGUAUGUACAUUUAAGCAUGUCUGCUUGCCUCAACAUUCAAGUUGUUUUGUUAAAAAUAUAAAAUAACACUCUCAGAAAAAAAAGACAAGCCACAUCAUAUCUUAUUAUAAAGAUAAGAAGCAAAUAGAUCUUACUCGAUGAGGAACAGCUAUCAGCUCAUGAAUUUAUUUUCUCACAUAAUAUGGGAGAAACGCCUCUUGCCAAUAGCCAGACUAUGUUACCCC
rnacentral:lncRNA from 1 species